CUGUGAGGAGGCAGGCCAUGAUGAGUCUGGGACACAGAGUGGCCACCCGGCCAGUCGCCCCCACAGCCCCAGCUGGUUCUGGAUGGGAAGAGCACAGGCAGCUGGGAGCAGGACAGCGUCAGGAGAGUGGCCCACAGAUAGGGACACCUGAUGGGGCAGCCUCUUAGUGUUGGGCCCCCCGCCAAGGGGGGGCAGGCGUAGUCAUGGCCAGAAUCCCGGUGUCCCCCACAGCACCCCGUGGUCCCCACGGUGUCCCCUCUCACUGUCUUCCUGGGAGCCAUCGGGGGAGCUAAGCCCACCUGGUCCUUCUGGGACCCUCCAGCGUUGUCUCGGAGGACUGGCACCGCCGCGAGAGGUUGACCGGCUCUCUCCUGGGAGUGGGCCUGCUGAGGUGUCAUGUUUGUGAGAAGGAGCAUAGUUUCAAAUGCCAGAAUCCAACAGAAUGUCCGGAGGGAAUACACUUGUGUGCCUCUAUUGCCCUGAGAGUAUAUCCACGUUUCUUCU